GACGAACGCUGGCGGCGUGCUUAACACAUGCAAGUCGAACGGAAAGGCCCUGCUUUUGUGGGGUGCUCGAGUGGCGAACGGGUGAGUAACACGUGAGUAACCUGCCCUUGACUUUGGGAUAACUUCAGGAAACUGGGGCUAAUACCGGAUAGGAGCUCCUGCUGCAUGGUGGGGGUUGGAAAGUUUCGGCGGUUGGGGAUGGACUCGCGGCUUAUCAGCUUGUUGGUGGGGUAGUGGCUUACCAAGGCUUUGACGGGUAGCCGGCCUGGGAGGGUGACCGGCGACAUUGGGACUAAGAGACGGACCAGACUCCUACGGGAGGCAGCAGUGGGGAAUAUUGCACAAUGGGCGGAAGCCUGAUACAGCAACGCCGCGUGCGGGAUGACGGCCUUCGGGGUGUAAACCGCUUUCGCCUGUGACGAAGCGUGAGUGACGGUAAUGGGUAAAGAAGCACCGGCUAACUACGUG
rnacentral:rRNA from 1 species